CCUACGGGAGGCAGCAGUGGGGAAUAUUGGACAAUGGGGGCAACCCUGAUCCAGCCAUGCCGCGUGUGUGAAGAAGGCGCUCGGGUUGUAAAGCACUUUCAGUGAGGAAGAACGCCUGGUGGUUAAUACCCAUCAGGAAAGACAUCACUCACAGAAGAAGCACCGGCUAACUCCGUGCCAGCAGCCGCGGUAAUACGGAGGGUGCGAGCGUUAAUCGGAAUUACUGGGCGUAAAGCGCGCGUAGGUGGCUUGAUAAGCCGGUUGUGAAAGCCCCGGGCUCAACCUGGGAACGGCAUCCGGAACUGUCAAGCUAGAGUGCAGGAGAGGAAGGUAGAAUUCCCGGUGUAGCGGUGAAAUGCGUAGAGAUCGGGAGGAAUACCAGUGGCGAAGGCGGCCUUCUGGACUGACACUGACACUGAGGUGCGAAAGCGUGGGUAGCAAACAGGAUUAGAUACCCGAGUAGUC
rnacentral:rRNA from 1 species